rnacentral:ncRNA from 1 species
CAAAGGCAUGGUCCCGACCUUUUUAUCAGCUGUAGCUUAAAUUAUACAUGCAAGUCUCCGCAGCCCUGUGAAUAUGCCCUCAACCCCCCUCCCGGGAACGAGGAGCAGGCAUCAGGCACAAGUAUUUAGCCCAAGACGCCUAGCCAAGCCACACCCCCAAGGGAAUUCAGCAGUGAUAGACAUUAAGCCAUAAGUGAAAACUUGACUUAGUCAAAGCUAAAUUAGGGUCGGUAAAACUCGUGCCAGCCACCGCGGUUAGACGAGAGACCCUAGUUGAUAUGAAUAACGGCGUAAAGGGUGGUUAAGAGUAAAGUAAAAUAAAGCCAAAUGGCCCCUUGGCUGUCAUACGCUUCUAGGCGUCCGAAGCCCCCAUACGAAAGUAGCUUUAAUCAACCUGCCCGACCCCACGAAAGCUAAGAAACAAACUGGGAUUAGAUACCCCACUAUGCUUAGCCAUAAACUUAGACAUCCAAUUACAAUAAAAUGUCCGCCAGGGUACUACGAGCACCAGCUUAAAACCCAAAGGACCUGACGGUGUCUCAGACCCCCCUAGAGGAGCCUGUUCUAGAACCGAUAACCCCCGUUCAACCUCACCACUUCUAGCCGUCCCAGCCUAUAUACCGCCGUCGUCAGCUUACCCUGUGAAGGUAAUAAAAAUAAGCAAAAUGAGUAUAACCCAGAACGUCAGGUCGAGGUGUAGCGCAUGCUGUGGAAAGAAAUGGGCUACAUUUUCUACUAUAGAAUAUUACGAAUAUACACUAUGAAAUAGUGCUUGAAGGAGGAUUUAGCAGUAAAAGGAAAAAAGAAUGUUCCUUUGAAUCCGGCUCUGAGACGCGUACACACCGCCCGUCACUCUCCCCAAUAAACACACUAAAAAUAACUAAUACUACAAUAUUAAUAAGGGGAGACAAGUCGUAACACGGUAAGUGUAUCGGAAGAUGCACUUGAACAAACC